rnacentral:rRNA from 1 species
AAACCAACAGGGAUUGCCCCAGUAACGGCGAGUGAAGCGGCAACAGCUCAAAUUUGAAAUCUGGCCUAGGCCCGAGUUGUAAUUUGCAGAGGAUGCUUCGGGCGCGGUGCCUUCUGAGUUCCCUGGAACGGGACGCCAUAGAGGGUGAGAGCCCCGUACGGUUGGACACCUAGCCUGUGUGAAGCUCCUUCGACGAGUCGAGUAGUUUGGGAAUGCUGCUCAAAAUGGGAGGUAUAUCUCUUCUAAAGCUAAAUACCGGCCAGAGACCGAUAGCGCACAAGUAGAGUGAUCGAAAGAUGAAAAGCACCUUGAAAAGGGGGUUAAACAGCACGUGAAAUUGUUGAAAGGGAAGGGCCCAUGACCAGACUUGUGCCCGGCGGAUCACCCAGCGUUCUCGCUGGGGCACUCCGCCGGGUCCAGGCCAGCAUCGGUUCUCGCCGGGGGAUAAAGGCUCUGGGAACGUAGCUCCUCCGGGAGUGUUAUAGCCCUCUGCGUAAUACCCUGGCGGGGACCGAGGUACGCGCUCCGCAAGGAUGCUGGCGUAAUGGUCAUCAGCCAC